UAGUGAUUGACAGAGAACAACAAUUCAAUAUGAUUGGUCUCUGCUCUGCUGUCAACGUGGGGUCCUCAGGAGAUAGUGACCGUUUCUUUCCCAGUAAAGUAACUGCACUGUAUCAGUAACGCAUACGCAAGUGUCUCCUGAAAUUAGAGGAAGAAAAUUUCUCCUGACUCCUGACCCUAAUCCACUUUUCAUCCUUCACCCAACUUUGCACUCCAGAAGCUGACCUUAUGAGCUACAACGAGAUUCCUUACCUCUGGCUUCCUGGAGGUUCAUCAAAUAGGGAGCUUCUGCAGAAAACCCGCAGGAGGGAGAAGAGGAAGUUUUGGACAGUCUGAUUUGUCAUGGGCCUCCAGAAGAAUCUGCAGUAAAGGAAAAACUCCUCACCUGGAAGACAUGAAACUUACUCUAGUCUCUUUCAAGUAGAAAUUGUGGGACCUUUGGUGAAUUAUUUUACCUUCCUGGGCUCAGAUCCCUUAUCCAAAACAGAAGAAAUCUGAUUUAGAUGUUCUUCAAAUGCCGUUCUAGAGUUGAAUAUGGAGGAGGUGAACAGUGGCCAAUCUUCCAACUCGGGUAGAACGAGGAAGUAAGUUCUACUUACUUCUCAUUCUCUGUUCCUGGCACUUUCAGGCUAGCAAAUGGGCAGCCCUGUCCUCGACAUAAUAAAAGCUAUUGCAGAAAAA